GAUGAACGCUGGCGGCGUGCCUAAUACAUGCAAGUCGAGCGAACGGACGAGAAGCUUGCUUCUCUGAUGUUAGCGGCGGACGGGUGAGUAACACGUGGAUAACCUACCUAUAAGACUGGGAUAACUUCGGGAAACCGGAGCUAAUACCGGAUAAUAUUUUGAACCGCAUGGUUCAAAAGUGAAAGACGGUCUUGCUGUCACUUAUAGAUGGAUCCGCGCUGCAUUAGCUAGUUGGUAAGGUAACGGCUUACCAAGGCAACGAUGCAUAGCCGACCUGAGAGGGUGAUCGGCCACACUGGAACUGAGACACGGUCCAGACUCCUACGGGAGGCAGCAGUAGGGAAUCUUCCGCAAUGGGCGAAAGCCUGACGGAGCAGCGCCGCGUGAGUGAUGAAGGUCUUCGGAUCGUAAAACUCUGUUAUUAGGGAAGAACAUAUGUGUAAGUAACUGUGCACAUCUUGACGGUACCUAAUCAGAAAGCCACGGCUAACUAC
rnacentral:rRNA from 1 species